AUUUUCUAUUAAACCCUUAUGUUAUCUAAUAUUUCAAGAUUUCUUCGUUUUUUCUCGGCUUGCCCUACCUCACUCCUCUCAGCUGACGAUUAGGCUUCUUUCGUAAUAAAUUUUUAAUUCCUCUCAGCUAGCCAUUAGGCUUCUUUCGUAAUAAAUUUUUAAUUUAUUAAGCUAAAUUCUGUUAUGAAUUGUUGCUCUUUGACUGUUCGGCUUGCCCAACUUUCGGAGUUCCUCCGACGGCGACGUCUUUCUCUAAACGCCUUGCCUUCUCCUCCUCCUCCUUCACCUUCUCCUCCCGUCGGCUUCGCAUGAGGAUUUUUAAAAAGUCGUUAAAAGGAGCUUCUUCGCUUUCGGACAAGGCUCGCUCUUUUCAAACCUGCGAGAUGACAUAGGAAAUUUUAGAGGACCUACUAGCGAAGGCGAACGAAGGAUUUGAAAGCUCCGAAAGGUCUUAGGCUUAGACGAGCUUCCUCUCGAAUCGGAAAAAUUUUGCACACAGGGAAGGGGACUAAGCUAGGCUGCCUGAUUUCAUUUUCAAGAUCUUGCUGCAUGGAGGAUGAGAAAGUGGAGGAGAACGAAGGGAGAUAUGACGUGGCGGCUGCCAUGAAGGAUUUUUUGGGAGGACAUGGAGGUGAUGUUUAUUAUUUGAUUAUUUUUUUGCUGCUCUGCUUAAUAAAAGUGAGAUUUAUAGGGUUUCGGUUCUCUUUUGUAGUUCAUUUUAAUAAAAAUUGGAUUUUGGGGGGCUGUCGGUUCCAAGGAUUUUAGUAUAAUAGAAGUUUGGAAACGUUAGUAAAUCAUGGGAGUGUUGUUAUUGAGAACUGUUUGGUUGUCAGUAUAUUUAAAUCUAUAAAUCUUUAAACUGUUGGAAUGGAUGGGCUUAUUUGGCUGUUUGAAAUUAGAAAAUAGGUUUUUAAAUAUUAUGUAUUUAUUAUAUUUCAUUAUUUGGCUGGAUUCAUUCAGAAAUCAAUAUGGAUUUCAACUCAGCAAACUCCUUCAAAAUUCUUAAAGGAUGAUGAUUUCAUUUUAACGCUGAAAAUGAAACUAUAAUUUCCCUUAAAUAUAAUUUCCAUCUAAAAAACUUCCAAAUCAACCCUAAUGUAAUUUACGAAAUCCUUAAAUCCUUCUUUAAAUUUCAAAAUCAAAAGCUUAGGCCUUUCCAUCCAAAUUCUGGAUUUAUGAAAUCUAAAUUUUAUAGAAGAGUUAUAUAUAUAUAUAUAAUAUGUUUGUUUGAAUUUGGCCUUAAUCUAACCUUAAUCAUGUAUAAAUCUUCUUAGAAAAUAUCCCCUUAGGAUUUUUGUGGUUUUGCUGAACCGACCUCUUCGUGUCCAUGCAAUGACUUUUUGUUUAUCAAUAUCUUGUUUGUCGAAUAGAGUUGAUAAAUUUCUUUUCCUUUUCUUCCUUUAUGUAAUUCCUUUGCUUAUACAAGCUAUUUCACAAUUUUCUUUCAGUUUUUGAACUUCCUUAGAAACCGUUCGAAUAGAGAUUGCUAUGUUAUGCACAAGCUAACCAGAGAAUAAGUAGAAGAAUUUAAAAAGGGUAAUGCUAAGUGGAUAACCACUAAGUUUCAUAUAUUAGUCGUGAUUAUCAUUGUGGUCCACCAAGUAUCAGUGAGUCAUUGCCAAGCCAGCCUUCAUAUCCAUAACUUCUUAAAAGAAAAAGUGGGGCAGCAUUAGCAUUUGAUCAUAAGAAAAAUCAAUUUAGUAACACUAGAAGGGCUUAAUUUGAGAUAAAGCUUAAUUAGAUUAGAAGCUGUAAAAGUUUUCUCUGGUAGGAUUUUUUUUAUUUAUUCCUGCCGUAAUGUAAUCUUGGUUAAUUUUACAUAGAUUUGACUAACAGUAUUUUUUUGUUGGAUCGUGCCAAUAAAAUAGCUAAAAAAUAUGAUGCUUUGGAAUCAAAAGCUAUUUUCAUUACAAAUUGUAAAUUUUGACUCAUUGAAUUAGCAAAAUUGUCUUAAAGAACUAAAGAAACAGGAAACCUUAGAAGGAAUCUUUUUUAAUGCUUCAUUUUAGCAGAGUAUUCUUCAGGAUUACCUGUCCAAUGAGUGUCAGUAUAAAAAUUUAUUCUUUAUUGGGUUCUUAUCGUUGUGUAAUUUCCUUUUUUAAAGCGAUCAAUUCUUUUAUGUUUAACCGAAAAUUUUCUUUUUGGUUUGAGAAUUGUAGUCUAUUUUGGGUUUUUUCUCGCAUGGAGCUUUGAAAUUUAAACAUUUAAACAUUACCUUAUUCUUGCUUUAUGAAUUAUCAGUUCUUACAUAUUGUUGAUCAAGGACAAAAUGAGAUCUUAUCAAACUUAGGCUUUGGUCGGUUUUGGGGAAUAAAGCAGAAAGGUAACUUUUUUUAUCUCAUGGGUACAUUACUUCUUCACUCAACUUCUCAGCCAAAUAAGUGGGUUUAACUUAGCUUUAAUUCAAUUCCUUUAUCAUUUCUUCUUUUUCAAUUUCUUCUAUUGCAACGAGAGCUCACCAAGAUAAGAAUAAAUGUGCCACCUGAACACAAAAAGGAAUGAAACACAAAAAGGAAAAUGAAAGGCAUGAAAGUCAAGCAUAUGAUUCCAAGAAACGAGAAAAAGAUUCCAAACCCAGUCAGUCCUAUGCCGAUCUAUGUUUCAAGGAAGAUGUGGAACCUAUUAGCAGAGCUUCACAUGGAUGGCUAGAGAUUUUCGAUUUCAUGUGCAAGAAUUAUGUGAAGUAUACAAUCAACACAAGUAAAAUGAUUCAUUUGCACCAAAGAUAUGUUGUGCAAGAUUGACUCAGAGGGAAAGGCAAGAAAAUUCAUAUGGUGCUCGUGUUGUUGUUAAGAUUUGCAGGAUUAUGGAGAGGAUUCACAGGGACUUCAUAUAGUUCACAAAUAUAUGAAAUCUCACUGCUUAUUUUGAAGUAUCAGUAUCAUAAAUGAGUUGAAAUAUCUUGCUUAAAAUUAUGAGUGUUUAGUAUUUCGAGAAGCAUCUGUUUCUGCUUUGAGAAAUUUAUAUCUAGGUUUUCGCCUUCAAUUUUGAAUCUUGUAGCAAGAAUAUAUUGGAAACCUUUAUUUAUUGAAGUUGGUUUUAAUUGUAAUUUCAUUAACUUGUCAAACUGUUCAUAGAAAAUGAUCAUAUUUUGUACUACAUAAAAUAUUCAACUUUAUGCAGACUUGAAAAUCUGAAUUAUUUUUUGUUAUGAAAUUCUGAGCAUGAGUACUGCUUCCCACAAAAAAUGUUCUGCUUAAGAAAGCAUGAGUUUAUGACAUGAAAUUGUUGCUGCUGGGGCUGAUACUUUCAUUGUUCAUGGUUGCUCUUAUGUGAUCAUUGAUUUGGGUUAAGGGUAACCUCAUGAGAAAUAAGACAAAUCAAAGAAAACCAAAAUCAAAGUUAUUAUGCAUAUGUACGUUAUGUCAACAUUCUUUAAUUUGUAAUAUUUCAUUGGUGUGGAAUAAGUUUGAAUUAACUUUUUCUUUUAGUUCUCGUUAAUGUGAUGUAUGAGAAGGGGGUAUAAGAUGAUGCAUUCAUUACUCAAUUUUAUGAUCGAUAAUACACAGUGUAAAACUCAUAUGCUUGAAAUCCAAUGAGUUUGACGAUGUGUACUUUAUCCUUUUUUUAAUUCUAUUAUUAUGUAUUCUUGUAUUUUGUUAUAAGCUCAUUCAUAUGUGGAAGAUUUAUCUUAUAUGUCUAUCUUAAUUCAAUUUACAUGAGUUUUAAUUUGUUGUUGCUAAUUGUUAGUGUUUCUUAUAGUGACCAUUCAAUAUUGUUUGUCAUAGGCUUACUUUUUUAUUUUAAGUAACUAAUUUAAUUAUCUGAUGGAUGUCAUAUUAA